rnacentral:misc_RNA from 1 species
CAACCCUCAAGCUCUGCUUGGUGUUGGGGACUGUUUUAGUGACAGCCCCGAAACUGCUAGGCACCUUCCCACUUGUUUUGGUGCAGCGGGCUUACGCAGGCACUAAAAACAGUGGGAGAGCCGCCAAAUUUUACUUAU